ACACAACCAAAUGAGUAUAGAAGUAGUAGUGAUGAGGGGGAGGAUUAUGAUAAGAUAGCAAUAUGGGAAUCAGAUGUAGAUGAUGCACCUGGUUCGAGGGCAUCAAGAAGGGUUGGUAAUAGCUUUAGGACCAGUGGUCAAGGGCAAAUGAAGAUAAAUGAGGAUACCCGCGAGAGCAAGAGAAAGGUGAAAAGCUCAAAAGACGUGGAUGAAACUUGGGACAGCGAUUGACCAGGAUGCCAAGGGAUACAGACACUGAGGCUGGUUUUAUUUAUGGUACUUGAUCUAUGCAAACUGAUCAGGAAGAAAAAUAUGGACUAUUAAGUUAAGUGGUUAUGGACGUUUGUGAUUUCUAGUUGAGUGCUGUCUUCACAUGGGCAAGGAAUCAAGCUAGCUAUUUCUUCCUGUUUGCUGAAUUUGUG
rnacentral:misc_RNA from 1 species